rnacentral:rRNA from 1 species
GAUGAACGCUGGCGGCGUGCCUAAUACAUGCAAGUCGAGCGAAGAGGGGACGGGUGAGUAACCCGUGGAUAACCUCCUAUAAGACUGGGCUAACUUCGGGCACCCGGAGCUCACCCGGCUAAUUCUAGAUGGAUCCGCGCUGCCUUAGCUAGUUGGUAAGGUAACGGCUUACCAAGGCAACGAUGCAUAGCCGACCUGAGAGGGUGAUCGGCCACACUGGAACUGAGACACGGUCCAGACUCCUACGGGAGGCAGCAGUAGGGAAUCUUCCGCAAUGGGCGAAAGCCUGACGUAGCAACGCCGCGUGAGUGAUGAAGGUCUUCGGAUCGUAAAACUCUGUUAUUAGGGAAGCGGUACCUAAUCAGAAAGCCACGGCUAACUACGUGCCAGCAGCCGCGGUAAUUC